rnacentral:lncRNA from 1 species
CUGACCUCAGGUGAUCCACCCGCCUCGGCCUCCCAAAGUGCUGGGAUUACAGAUGUGAGCCACUGCGCCCAGCUGCCAUUCAAUGGACUAUUGUCCAUUUAUAAAAAGAAUGAAGAUCUCCAUGAGCAGAGCAGAUAUAAAUCUAAAAGACAUUAGGUCUUAUAAGGAGGAGAGAGACGGCAUCAGCCCACAGAAAGCAAGAGAGUGAACAGGGUGGGGAAACCACCUAUUCAGGUGGCAGCACAUGAAGAUGGCCGCAGCCCAGGUGGAUGAGAGUCCAUGGGGUAUAUACUAAAUCUAAUCAUGAGGAAACAAUAGAAAAAGAAACAUUCUAAAACAUUUCAAAAAAUGAUUGAACGGUUAUUUUCAAAAGCGUCAAGCCGGGAAAGCCAAGGAAAGAUUGAGGUUCUAUUCAGGAAGACUUCUUCCAAGUUGCUGGAGGAGAUGGCCACUAGUAGCCUUGAUUUUAUAUCAUCCCAGCACAAAGACACCAAAUGCAAGAGACAGCAUUUUCCACCAGCUCUAGCUGGAAAAUCCUUAGAGGAGGACUGUAGUUAUCAGCUCAACCAGGACAACUUGAUCGGAGAAGAGUGGUUAUCCAGAAAGGGAUGCUGAGCAGAUAAUCAACGUUCUCUGAAGUGGGUAUAAUGACUAUCUACAUGCAUAUGGGAAAGGGAGGCACAGAGAAAUGAAGUAACUUUUCCAAGAUCACACGGUUGGUUGGUGGGAGAGGUAAACCAAAAACCCAGGCCUCCUCACUCAGACCUCUGCUCUUGCCUGAAUAACCAUGUUAUUUCGCCACUUCAAAAUAAAAGUGAGACCUACCAGUUUUCAUAAACACUGUAAUGUCGUUCUGUUACAUUUAUUUCUUUGCCUUCUGUAUAUAUAUAUCAAUAGCCUCACAUUCAAAGAACCAAAUAAUUGUACCCAACUUAUUCACCUCAGUAUUUGUGAAUAACUCUGGCCUUAUAAAAAAGUCUAACGGUUUUCUGUUUUUGUUUUGCUCUUACACUUUAUGGGCAUUUUAUACCAGCAUUUUUAGGUGUUUUUAACAGGUGGAUCGUCAGAAAGAAUACAAAAGUUUGAAUAAACAUACAUUGGCAAGCAAUUAUUCCUCUCCCCUUAGUAUAUUCUGUUCCUUAAUUUUUUUUGUGAUGGGCAUAAUUAAAUGAUUUAUUGCAAAAAUUGCUUAUCUUUCUGUAAGCAGGCAAGUGCCUGGUUUGUUGGAAAGAGGACUUGACCAAGUGCUAACCAAUGUGGAUUUGCGAAUUAUCAAGUUUACAAAACCUUUUUAAAAACUGUUUUAAAAAAAUGCUUAGUUUUACAAAACCGUCUGGCUUUGUCAAUUUCUAGUUAGUUGUGUGGCUGCCAGCACACGGCUUAAACUCUGAACCUUAGUAGUAUCAUCACUUGCAAAACAGGAGUGGUUUUAUCACCUUAUUUUGAGCAUAGUGUAGGCUGAAAUCUUUUGUAAGCUACAAAAUGGCAUAUAAAUGUCAGUUUUACUGACAGAGCAGGAGCACCGUCAUCUCGGACAAACACCGCCAUUUUUAAGUUCCAGCUCCCUUUCUAGCCUCAUGAAUUUCAAGG